GCUCCUGUGGCGCAGAGGUUAGCGCUUCGUGCUUAUAGUUGUUCAAAUCUUGACAUUCUAUGUUAGAUUCGUGUGAGGAACGCGAUGGUCGCGGGUUCAAUCCCCGCCGGGAGCA
rfam:Pachysolen tannophilus NRRL Y-2460 unplaced genomic scaffold PACTA_scaffold_8, whole genome shotgun sequence.